rnacentral:lncRNA from 10 species
AGGUUGGGGGCUGGGGACAUGCCAGGCCAGGACCUGCAACAGAAACCGCCGCCCCACCUUUCCUUUCUGUGCCCCACCCCAUCCUGCCUAAAAAGUUGCUUUCCAUGAGGGCUUGGUGCUGAGUGUGGCCCCCACAGGGAUGUCUGUGUGGUCACAGAGUACCUGUGGGAGGGCAAUUCUGACCCCAAGGUAGGAAGCAGUGAUCCGGUAAUUCCAGGCACCAAGGCAGAUAAAAAGACCAAGCCACAGCCUCCUCAAGAAGUUUGAAGUCUGCAUUGAACUCAUUAAUUUCCAGCUUUUGGCCGGGCGUGGUGGCUCAUGACUAUAAUUCCAGCACUUUAGGAGGCCAAGAUGGGGCCCAUGAGUGAGGAGGACAAGAGAGAAAGGAGAAGUUUGGGUGUAAAUCCCAGAGAUUGUUCAUCAUGUGAGAGGAGCCGUGCAUGCAUUUCAUGCCAUACUCACACCAUGGAUGGAGAAAAAAAAUCAAGCUUCACUUUCUGAGAAUGGCCCUGGGGGCACUGCAUCUAGUGCCUGUGCAUCUGCAGACCUGCCGGAUGCCUCCAGGGGAAUCAUGCCACCCCAAGCAAGAAAGGGCCCAGUUGCCAGGAGCCUGGAGGCAGAGAGCUGAGGAGCCAGCCCCUGACAUCAGAAUGGAGCUCAAAGGUUGGCUGGGUGUGACUCUGC